rnacentral:lncRNA from 1 species
CACAAUAAAAUAUUUUAUAUUUAAACCCUUUUUUCCUACUUUUUAACCACAUAUUCUCCAAAAAUUUACCAUUUCAAAAUUCAUUUUUAUUGAAUAAUGGUAGACGAACAUGGCAUAGCUUAAAUCACAUUGAAACUCAUGUGUACAAAAGGAUUUAAAUAUCCCCAAAUAAAACAACUGUUGAAUAAUACACAAUUGGACGGACGGCGGGUUGAUUGCAGUCAUCAGCACUUCAUCUUUCUUCUUUUGCAUUUUGGCUCCUACUUUUGAGUUUCUCGUACUAUUUUGACCAUUUUCGCUCCAAAUCUUCAAACAUUGAUCUUGCAAUUCCCAAAAGCUUCUAUGUUUGUUCUUGAAUCUCCAUAGUCAUCCACGAUUGGUCUUCCUCAAGUUUCGAAAGUGUGCAAAUCAGCAUUCAAACUUUCCAUAAGUCGAAUUUCACUCCCUGAAACUUUUGAAUUUCCUCCAACUUCUCUCUUAACGCUUUCCAUCAAUCCCAUGUAUCUCCAAAUAUGAUUUUUACCUACGACGACUUACAAUAAAUUAAGUAAAAAUGCAUAUAUAAAAGUCGGGAUAAGCGUUAUCAAGCCACACCCAACAAAUUCAUACCAUUUGUGAACUAUAUAUGUCAAUCCCUUUCAUGGUGAUUAUUAUAAUAUUGUCAAGCACCACAUCCUAAAUACACAAGUUAGGUUUAGAUAUGAUACACGUAAACGCAACAAAAAAGUGUGGGAUCAAACCUAAUCGAGAUGCAAAAAUUUCGAUGACAAUUGUUAAUUUGUUUCGUAUGAAAUGAAUUAUGUAACUCAACUUUCUUGUGCUGGAUUAGACUUCAAAACACGCAGAAGAGAUAAAUAUGCAUACAAAGGGCUAUGACGUAUCAUUUUAGAAUACGUACAAGACUUUAA